rnacentral:rRNA from 1 species
UGGGGAAUAUUGCACAAUGGGGGAAACCCUGAUGCAGCGACGCCGCGUGAACGAAGAAGGUAUUCGUAUCGUAAAGUUCUGUCCUAUGGGAAGAUAAUGACAGUACCAUAGAAGAAAGCUCCGGCUAAAUACGUGCCAGCAGCCGCGGUAAUACGUAUGGAGCGAGCGUUGUCCGGAAUUAUUGGGCGUAAAGGGUACGCAGGCGGUUUAAUAAGUCGAAUGUUAAAGAUCGGGGCUCAACCCCGCAAAGCAUUGGAAACUGAUAAACUUGAGUAGUGGAGAGGAAAGUGGAAUUCCUAGUGUAGUGGUGAAAUACGUAGAUAUUAGGAGGAAUGCCAGUAGCGAAGGCGACUUUCUGGACACAAACUGACGCUGAGGUACGAAAGCGUGGGGAGCAAACAGGA